UGGGUACUCUCUCUCUCUCAAAAACUAAUUUAGUGUUAAAGAUUUGUUUCUAACCGGUGAUGGAUCAUAUUAUACUAGUGUCUUGGUCGAUAAGAACCCAGCUUAUCCAAUUUAUGGUCCCACUAACCAUAAUUAUUUAUUCCAUGGACCUUGGUCAAUAUAAGAUUUCAUAAUUAUUCUAUGGCUUAUAGAUUUGUGAUUUUUAAUUUUUAAGGACUACAAGCCUUUGAGAUAAUGGGGAUAGCAGCAGUAGGGAACAACCUUAUAACAUAUGUUAUCAACGAAAUGCAUUUCCCCUUGUCUAAAGCGGCCAAUAUUGUUACCAACUUUGUCGGCACAAUCUUUAUCUUCGGCCUCCUCGGGGGCUACCUCUCUGACGCCUUUCUCGGCAGCUUCUGGACCAUGCUCAUCUUUGGCUUCGUUGAGCUUUCUGUAUGUCUAUGCUCUCCUUCUAUUAUUUACAUAAAAGUAUAUAUAUAGAUCUAUGAGCUUUCUGUAUGUCUAUGCUCUCCUUCUAUUAUUUACAUAAAAGUAUAUAUAUAGAUCUAUGAGUUCCAUGGCUUCCAUUCCGAAACAAACAUGGGACCCCUAUUAUAUAUAUUUGGAUAUAUAUAUAUAUAUAUAUAUAGUGACGUAACUAUUUACGUGUAUACGUCCAUGCAUGCUUUUGGUGUGUACUCUUUUAUAUAUAAGUUUGUUAUUUAUUAUUUAUUUUGCACCAAAAAAAAGUUUAUUAUUUAUUCACGAAUAUGUCAUUGCUACAAAGAAAGAAAUAAGAACUAUUUAACAUCAUUAGUUAGUGUUUAAGAUAAAAGCAAGUUAAAAACGUUUUAAGAUCAAAUUUCUAGUUCUGAGACUUUUUAAUUGUUUUUCUAAGAGAAAAUUCAAUGUAACUUUAAUUGAUGAUAUAUCAAUGUUUAAGAUCAAAGUUUAUAAUUCUGAAGACUUUUUAAUUAUUAAUUAAUUGGUGUUUAACUCUUUACUGCCACCUGUCUUCCCAGGGUUUCAUACUAUUAUCAGUACAAGCACAUUUACCUCAACUAAAGCCACCAGAGUGUAACCCACUUAUAGACCAAAGCUCAUGUGAAGAAGCAAAAGGUUUCAAGGCAACGUUCUUCUUCAUGGCACUCUACUUGGUGGCUUUAGGAAGUGGCUGUGUGAAACCAAACAUGAUAGCUCACGGUGCGGACCAGUUCUCUCAGUCACAUCCUAAACAAUCUAAAAGGCUCUCAUCUUACUUCAAUGCCGCCUAUUUCGCCUUCUCCAUGGGCGAGCUUAUCGCGUUAACUCUCCUCGUUUGGGUCCAAACUCAUUCGGGCAUGGAUGUUGGAUUUGGAGUCUCUGCUGCAGCCAUGACGAUAGGCCUCAUUAGCUUAGUCUCCGGCACUAUGUUUUUUCGUAACAAACGUCCACGUCGAAGCCUCUUCACUCCCAUUGCCCAAGUUAGUUUUGGUCUUUUAACACAAUUUCUUUAAUUAUAUUUCUGAAAAAUAAUUUUCAAAACUUUUAGUUAUUUUAAUUUAAUUUUAGUUAACAAUAAUAUAUAGUAAAUAGUAUAUGAAAUGAAGAUGGUAAGAUAUGGUGUUGAAUAUAAUUAAACAAAACAAUUAAAAAGUAGAAAGUUGAAUGUGUGUUGAAUUAUUAGGUGGAUAAAAAAAAAAGAUGUGGGGUAUUUAAAAGUCAAAAUAUAUUGUUGAAUUUCAAAACUAUAAUUGUGGUUGAAUACACAAGGCUAAAAAGUCAAUGACUUUGGCUCCCUCUCUUCAUCUUUACUCUAUUAUAAAUUGAAGGGCCAAUCGGCCAACUCUAUUUGUCUUUAAGAAACUAAAACAUAAACCAAUUGAUAACCAAUCUUUUUUUCUUUCUCCUCUCUCUCACAGCUAAAGCAUAAAUAUCGAGAGAGAAACUUUUGAUUGUCUGUGUGGUUUGUGAGAGAUGGAAGAGGCAAACAAUCAAAGUAAAAAAUGGGAACAAGAGGAGAUUAGUAAUGAAAUGAAUAACUGGGAACUGACUGAAGAAGAAAGUGUUGAUUGGAGAGGAAGACCAUCCAACCCCAAGCAUGGUGGAACGAGAGCUGCUCUCUUUGUUCUGGGUACUCUCUCUCUCUCAAAAACUAAUUUAGUGUUAAAGAUUUGUUUCUAACCGGUGAUGGAUCAUAUUAUACUAGUGUCUUGGUCGAUAAGAACCCAGCUUAUCCAAUUUAUGGUCCCACUAACCAUAAUUAUUUAUUCCAUGGACCUUGGUCAAUAUAAGAUUUCAUAAUUAUUCUAUGGCUUAUAGAUUUGUGAUUUUUAAUUUUUAAGGACUACAAGCCUUUGAGAUAAUGGGGAUAGCAGCAGUAGGGAACAACCUUAUAACAUAUGUUAUCAACGAAAUGCAUUUCCCCUUGUCUAAAGCGGCCAAUAUUGUUACCAACUUUGUCGGCACAAUCUUUAUCUUCGGCCUCCUCGGGGGCUACCUCUCUGACGCCUUUCUCGGCAGCUUCUGGACCAUGCUCAUCUUUGGCUUCGUUGAGCUUUCUGUAUGUCUAUGCUCUCCUUCUAUUAUUUACAUAAAAGUAUAUAUAUAGAUCUAUGAGCUUUCUGUAUGUCUAUGCUCUCCUUCUAUUAUUUACAUAAAAGUAUAUAUAUAGAUCUAUGAGUUCCAUGGCUUCCAUUCCGAAACAA
rnacentral:lncRNA from 1 species